rnacentral:lncRNA from 1 species
CUCUCUCCACACACACACUCACGCGCUCUCGUUCGCUUGAUUCCGUUCUCUCUCUCCACACACACUCACGCGCUCUCGUUCACUUGAUUCCGUUCUCUCUCCACACACACGCGCUCUCGUUCGCCUGAUUCCGUUCUCUCUCUCCACACACCCUCACGCGCUCUCAUUCGCUUGACUCUGUUCUCUCUCCACACACACACUCACGCGCUCUCAUUCGCUUGAUUCCGUUCUCUCUCUCCACACACACACUGACGCGCUCUCAUUCGCUUGAUUCCGUUCUCUCUCUCCACACACACACUCACGCGCUCUCAUUCGCUUGAUUCCGUUCUCUCUCUCCACACACACUCUCACGCGCUCUCAUUCGCUUGACUCUGUUCUCUCUCUCCACGCACACUCGUGUUCUCAUUCGCUUGACUCUCUUCUCUCUCUCCACACACACUCGCGUUCUCAUUCGCUUGAUUCCGUUCUCUCCACACACACUCACGCGCUGUCAUUCGCUUGAUUCCGUUCUCUCUCCACACACACACUCGCGUUCUCAUUCGCUUGAUUCCGUUCUCUCUCCACACACACUCACGCGCUGUCAUUCGCUUGAUUCCGUUCUCUCUCCACACACACACUCACGUUCUCAUUCGCUUGAUUCCGUUCUCUCUCCACACACACGCGCUGUCAUUUGCUUGAUUCCGUUCUCUCUCUCCACACACACUCACGCUUUCAUUCGCUUGAUUCCAUUCUCUCUCUCUUCACACACACACUCACGCUCCCCCGUGUACUGCAGUUGGCCCUCACUAGCCAUGGGUUCCUGCAGCUGUGGAUUUCACCAGCUGUAGGUUGAAAAU